UACAGGGGGGGCAAGCGUUGUUCGGAAUUACUGGGCGUAAAGGGUUCGUAGGUGGCCAACUAAGUCAGACGUGAAAUCCCUCAGCUUAACUGGGGAACUGCGUCUGAUACUGGAUGGCUUGAGUUUGGGAGAGGGAUGCGGAAUUCCAGGUGUAGCGGUGAAAUGCGUAGAUAUCUGGAGGAACACCGGUGGCGAAGGCGGCAUCCUGGACCAACACUGACGCUGAGUGAGCGAAAGCCAGGGGAGCAAACGGG
rnacentral:rRNA from 1 species